GGAGCCCUUUCCCAGGGCCCUCCAGCAGGCUUGCAUCUCGUUGGCCAGAAUCGCGCGACCAUGCCCAAAGGACCACUAUGAUUGGCUGAAAGCAAUCAGACCAGCCUCUAGGAGCUUGGCCUCUUCAGAAGCCUCUUACCGAGAGGAGAGUGGGUGUGUGAACUGCGUGGGGCCUCGGGGUCUGACAUCCCCCCAUGCUCCACGGAGAGGGGUAGUGUGGCCUGAGAACAGCUUCUAGGGCACUCUCUCCCGACCCCUCACCCCUACCCUGCAGGCGGGUGUCCUUUCCAGGUCAGUCUUUCUCUGAGCACCUGGAGCUGCUCAUUUCGGAUCCAAGAUGCAGGGCCUUUAACGUCCCUCUGCCUCAGGUGCUCACCCCUGCUUUUCCCGUGGCCCCACCUCACCGGGAAAGCCCUGUGUUCUCUUGCUGCCUCUGUCCUCUUCCCAAGGGCGCUUCUCCACGGGUGUGUAAGCAUCUCUCUGAUGGACGUGCUCUUCGUCCUUUGUACCCACGGAAGCAUUCCCAGGAGCCCUGCAGUUCCACGUUGCUUCUAUGAGAGGUCCCUGUGGCCCUGUCCACGGCAGCCUCAGACAGCCAGCAUCGGACAGCCAGCCUCCUCCCUCAGCAGACUGAGUGCCCUGUUCUCCCCUGUAAGGGGCACAGAGUCUGGUGCACAACAGAUGCCUGACUGUUAACUGAGUUGUCUGAUGAGGCCCAGCGCCAGGAGCCUGGGCCAGCUGACGGUUGGUUAGCUUGUCCAAGGCCACAGUUGCCUGUAGGCCUGUUUUAAUAGGUUGGUCAGGCAGUCACUGGAGCCUGCUGGGGCCAGAUGUGACAGGCGUGGGUCUAAGUCUGUUCUGGAUUCACUGCAAGAAGCCCCUGCAGAGGAGGCCCUUUAAUUGAGGAUGGGGAGGCGUCAGACAGAGAGAGGCCGGAAUGUCCAGGCUAAAGCUGCCUGGGGCUGAUGGAGAUGGGAGCAGGCCUGCCGUGGAGGUCUCCCCACCAAUUCCUGCACACUCCCCACUCCUGGGCUGAAAGAGCUAUGACUUUGAAGCAGCUUCAGCUGCAUGAACCUUGGGCUCCCGGAACUCUGCAGAGCUCUUGUCUCCCCUGGGAGAGCUGAGACUGGGAGAGCCCCAUCUCCCUGGCCUUGGUUCCUGAGGACACAGGUGAGGAAGUGCCGGGAGACUGCUGCCACUUUAAGACAGACCUGGGAGCCGAUGGUUUGAAGCCUUCCUUUGCUGCAAGACUGAAGCCCUCA
rnacentral:lncRNA from 1 species